GUAAUUCUAGAGCUAAUACAUGCUAAAAACCCCAACUUCGGGAGGGGUGUAUUUAUUAGAUAAAAAACCAAUGCCCUUCGGGGCUCUUUGGUGAUUCAUGAUAACUUAACGGAUCGCAUGGCCUUGCGCCGGCGACGGUUCAUUCAAAUUUCUGCCCUAUCAACUUUCGAUGGUAAGGUAUUGGCUUACCAUGGUUUCAACGGGUAACGGGGAAUUAGGGUUCGAUUCCGGAGAGGGAGCCUGAGAAACGGCUACCACAUCCAAGGAAGGCAGCAGGCGCGCAAAUUACCCAAUCCCGACACGGGGAGGUAGUGACAAUAAAUACUGAUACAGGGCUCUUUUGGGUCUUGUAAUUGGAAUGAGUACAAUUUAAACCCCUUAACGAGGAACAAUUGGAGGGCAAGUCUGGUGCCAGCAGCCGCGGUAAUUCCAGCUCCAAUAGCGUAUAUUAAAGUUGUUGCAGUUAAAAAGCUCGUAGUUGAAACUUGGGCCUGGCUGGCCGGUCCGCCUCACCGCGUGUACUGGUCCGGCCGGGCCUUUCCUUCUGGAGAGCCUCAUGCCCUUCACUGGGUGUGUUGGGGAACCAGGACUUUUACUUUGAAAAAAUUAGAGUGUUCAAAGCAGGCCUUUGCUCGAAUACGUUAGCAUGGAAUAAUAGAAUAGGACGUGCGAUCCUAUUUUGUUGGUUUCUAGGACCGCCGUAAUGAUUAAUAGGGAUAGUCGGGGGCAUCAGUAUUCAAUUGUCAGAGGUGAAAUUCUUGGAUUUAUUGAAGACUAACUACUGCGAAAGCAUUUGCCAAGGAUGUUUUCAUUAAUCAG
rnacentral:rRNA from 1 species